rnacentral:rRNA from 1 species
UACGUAGGGUGCGAGCGUUUAAUCGGAAUUACUGGGCGUAAAGCGUGCGCAGGCGGUUGUGCAAGACAGAUGUGAAAUCCCCGGGCUCAACCUGGGAACUGCAUCCGAGACUGCAUUGCUAGAGUAUGGGAGAGGGAAGCGGAAUUCCUGGUGUAGCGGUGAAAAUGCGUAGAUAUCAGGAGGAAUACCGGUGGCGAAAGCGACUCUCUGGACGGCAA